GACGAAGGGGGCUAGCGUUGUUCGGAAUUACUGGGCGUAAAGCGCGUGUAGGCGGUUGCCCAAGUCGGGUGUGAAAGCCUUGAGCUCAACUCAAGAAAUACACUCGGUACUGGGUGACUAGAGGACCGGAGAGGAUAGUGGAAUUCCCAGUGUAGUGGUGAAAUACGUAGAGAUUGGGAAGAACACCAGUGGCGAAGGCGGCUAUCUGGACGGUUUCUGACGCUAAGACGCGAAAGCGUGGGGAGCAAACAGG
rnacentral:rRNA from 1 species